rnacentral:rRNA from 2 species
UGCCUCUUGAGAACAAAUAAGAGGUACCUCCUGCCCAGUGAAAAUUUUCAACGGCCGCGGUAUCCUAACCGUGCAAAGGUAGCAUAAUAACUUGUCUAUUAAUUGUAGACUAGAAUGAAAGGAAAAACGAAAUAAGAACUGUCUCUGCUAGUUUUAUUAUAAAUUAUAAUUUAGAUGAAGAUAUCUAAAUAUAGAUGAAGGACAAGAAGACCCUAUAGAGCUUUAUCCAAAAAGAUAACAAAUCUCUUUUAAGAUUCGGUUGGGGCGACCAAGGGAUAAUCAACACCCUUCACACACAGAUUCAUUAAUCUUAAAUAUGACCCUUACUAAAGAUCAUAAAAACAAGCUACCUUAGGGAUAACAGGCUAAUCUUAUUAAAGAGUCCUUAUCUAUAAUAUGGGUUGGCACCUCGAUGUUGGCUUAGGGAAUCCAUGCGGCGCAAAAGUCACAUAAAGAUGGUUUGUUCAACCUUUAAUUCCCU